UGUGUGUGUGUUUAAAAAGUCCAGGGUUGAGAAGGGGCUGGGCCCAGAAGAGAUGGGCUUGCAUGCCUCCCCCAAAGACUCCAGGCCUACAGCCUACAGCUGCCAUGCUCCAGUGCAGAGAGACAAUCAGACGGGAGGCAGAGUCAACGAGGCCCAGACAGGGGAGCUGGUUCGCCCAAAGCAGGACGAAGAUGGCAGCUCUGUCCUGAAGCCCGCCACCCAGUGAGAGCCCAGCCCUAACCAGCACUCACCACUCGAUCAAGAAUGAAAGAAGAGACAAGUGAGUACAAAUGGAAACAGGUGGGAAACUGGGACACCACGUGGGCACAAGGCUUCCUCGUCUUAUCCAGGCCUUGCUUGGCCCUGGGCUCCAUCCAGUGAGCUUGCAGCUCAUAUUCUCCAGCACGGAUGCUCCCUCACCUGACCCGCUUGCGGGCGCAUCUGCAAGACCCCUCAGGCGCCUGGGUUGCUAAUGAGAGUCCCCAGAGGGCUCCCGCUGCUCACCCUGCCAGGGCCACCCUCCCCUUGUCCUUACCUUGGUUUGCCUUCAUUUUAAGGUCCUGGUAUAAGGCUCGUAGAGUCAAAGCCAGAGGGAAGGCAAGCCAGGCAGCCCUG